UGUCACGAUGAAGCAGCAGCGGGGUAAGUAGAAGAAAACUACUCACUCGAACCUGGAAAGAAUAAAAAAUUAACUGCAAAAAAAUCAACUUUUUAACAACAACUGGACAACAAAGUAUGAAUGUUUGUUUCCUGGUGGAGCUUUUUAAAGGACGGACACAUUGACCCAGACUGGCAGCGACAAUGGUGGAAUUUGUUUGAAGCACCUGGAGCAGCUGCUUCCUGGUGUCAUUCCACUCCCCUCCUCCAGAGGCGAUAGUGAGGCAAACGUCAAAGUUGUUUGAAGCACCUGGAGCAGCUGCUUCCUGGUGUCAUUCCACUCCCCUCCUCCAGAGGCGAUAGUGAGGCAAACGUCAAAGUUGUUCUAAGCACUUGGAGCAGCUGCUUCCUGCUGUCAUUCCACUCCCGUCCUCCAGAGGCGAUAAUGAGGCAAACAUCAUAGUUGUUUGAAGCACCUGGAGCAGCUGCUUCCUGCUGUCAUUCCACUCCCGUCCUCCAGAGGCGAUAGUGAGGCACACAUCAAAAAUUCUGACCCAGUCUUUCUCCCUUCAAGGAUGCUCCGGGAACUCUGAAUCGUAUUUGGCUGGAGUUUAUUUCGACUUGUUUGCAUUCAGACUGCAACCAAAACCCUUUUAUUUUCUAAGUCAUUCUAAUAAUGGCUGCAAAUUGGAAAUGUGUGACCCCUUCUUUAGUUGUAUUACUACAACCCGCAACAAUAUAUCUGGAGGCCAUAUUUGAUCAUUAUUUUAAAUUCAGUCGUCAUCCGGGAUGAAGAUGCUACCAAAACACUAAUUUGGGAUUAAUUGGAGUUACGGGAAAAAUCUUACAUUUUUAUAUGAUCCGGUUUUCGCAGCCGAGUGCAAAGCGACUGGAAUGAGAAUCAGCACUUCCAAGUCCGAGUCCAUGGUUCACGCCCGCAAAAGGGUGGAGUGCCAUUUCCGGGUUGGGGAAGAGACCCUGUCCCAAGUGGAGGAGUUCAAGUACCUCGGAGUCUUGUUCACAAGUGAGGGAAGAGUGGAUCGUGGGAUGUGGUGCGGCGUCUUCAGUAAUGGGGACACUGUCUCGAUCCGUUGUGGUGAAGAAGGAGCUGAGCCGGAAGGCGAAGCUCUCAAUUUACCGGUCGAUCUACGUUCCCAUCCUCACCUAUGGUCAUGAGCUUUGGGUUAUGACCGAAAGGACAAGAUCACGGGUACAGGCGGCUGAAAUGAGAGAGAGGGUGAGAAGCUCUACCAUCCGUGGGCAGCUCAAAUUAAAGCCGCUGCUCCUCCACAUGGAGAGGAGCCAGAUGAGGUGGUUCGGGUAUCUGGUCAGAUUGCCACCCAAACGCCUCCCUAGUGAGGUUUAGGGCACAUCUGACCGGGAACAGGCCUGGGAACGCCUCCGGAUCCCCUGGGAAGAGUUGGACGAAGUGGCUGGGGAGAGGAAAGUCUGGGCUUCCCUGCUUAGGCUGCUGCCCCCGCGACCCGACCUCGGAAAAACGGAAGAUGGAUGAAUGGAUCCGGUUUUCGUCAAACCUUUUGGAACAGAUUACUAAAGAAAUCCAAUAUAUUGCUGUACUGUACACCCAACCAACACUUUGUCAACAUCAGAAGCUGGUAAGUUUCCAACAGGUGAGCACUUGAACUUUCACUGCAGUUUCAUUCCAAUCAAAAGUCAGUCUCAAAAGUUCAAUAUUAAUGGCAAAAACAGUGUUUUUCAACCAGCGACCUGGGGGCCAAGUCCAGCCCAGUAAUGACACUAAUUUGACCAGGGCCCGCACUAUAUAUAUAUAUAUAUAUAUAUAUAUCUAAACUGUCUUUUCAUUAAACUGAACAAAAGUUAUAUGUCCACUGAUGUUUAAAAACUCUAUACUCUGAGUGUAAUUUAUGUUUCCCCAACGAUUUUGCCAUUUUUCCCCUCGUGCAGUAAUUGACUGAAAGAUCGUUUACUUGCCGCCUUUGUGGCGCAAGCGUGAUGACGUCCUGUUACUGCUAAAAAAAAAAUGCAUUUUUAGACAAUAUGAUUUGCUAGGAGAACUGGAAUCAAGUGGUAGAAAAUGGAUUGAUGGGUGGGCAAAAAAGGAAAGAAAAAAAAAAUAUAUAUAUAUGUAUAUAUAUUUUAUUUAUUUUUUUAAAUUUGUAUCUUUUUAUUUUUUACUUGGUAUUGGCAGAUUUUGGAUGCUGCCUAGGAGACACAGUAACAAGCGGUAGAGAAUGGAUUGUAGGAUGGCCGAAAAAGGACGGAUAAAUAUAAUUUAAAAAAAAAAUAAAUACAAUUUGUAUUUACUUUUUAGCCAAGACUACUCGCGGGCCAGAUUUUGGACGCUGGUGCGCCUUAUCUGCCUAGGAGACUCAGUAACAAGCGGUAGAAAAUGGAUUGAUGGAUGGGUGACAAAGAACAGAUUAACAAAAUAAUAAUAAAAAAAAUAUUAUUUUUUUUAAUCUUUACCUGCGGGCCGGAUUUUGGACGCUAGUGGGUCGUAGUUUGGGGACUCCUGCGCCCUAGAGUGUGCCUGUUGGACCACUGUAGAUACAUUGGCAGAUCCUUGCGUUGACAUUUGAACUUUGCCAGCAAACAUUGAACAUUGAGGUCCAAACUUGUGAUUUACAUAACUGAGGCAUUCCUCACUUAUGUGAUUAUGUAAGUCAGGUGUUGUUGUAGCAUGUUUACUUCAGAUGCAGUCAGUUGUCCAUCCACCCAUCCAUUUUCUACUGCUUGUCCCUUUUGGGGUGGCAGAAGGCGGUGUACACCCUGGACAAGUCGCCACCUCAUCGCAGGGCCAACACAGAUAGACAGACAACAUUCACACACUAGGGACCAUUUAGUGUUGCCAAUCAACCUAUCCCCAGGUGCAUGUCUUUGGAGGUGGGAGGAAGCCGGAGUACCCGGAGGGAACCCACGCAUUCACGGGGAGAACAUGCAAACUGCACGGGAUUGAACUCAGGACCUUCGUAUUGUGAGCCUAGGAACUACGAUGGUACAUUUACCAACUUUAGCCUCGGCACACAGGAGGAGUUAACCCCCGAGGUCACCCCUUUUGGACUAUAGACUAUUUGUUAUUAUUACCCAUACUUACCUUUUUCCACACACAAACGCCAAUUUAGUGUUGCCAAUCAACCUAUCCCCAGGUGCAUGUCUUUGGAGGUGGGAGGAAGCCGGAGUACCUGGAGGGAACCCACGCAGUCACGGGGAGAACUCCACACAGAAAGAUCCCGAGGCCAGGAUUGAACUCAGGACCUUCGUAUUGUGAGGUACAUGCACUAACCCCUGGUCCUA